ensembl:processed_transcript 4930563E22Rik RIKEN cDNA 4930563E22 gene
AGAUAUCGAGCGGGGCGUGCCGUAGGACUUCUCAUUUUUUAGGUCUCAGAGUCCUGCUACCUACCCCGACGUAAUACACCACCCUGACGUCACCUUUCCCUGUGUGACGUGACGCAGAGCAUGAUCCUUGGGCCUCUUUGUCCCACCUGACCAAGGUGUAUGGGCAGGAUGGCCUCGCCCCUUAGGAGCAAGUCCUCCGCCCCGCGAGUGGAAAGCACCCGCCACAAGGAGACAUCGACUGUCCGCGUGGAGACGUCGUCCCACCGCGAGGAAACGUCAUCCCACCGCGUGGAGACGUCCUCCCGGCAGGUUCGAACGUCUUCCCGGCAGGUGGAGACCUCCCAGCGCCACCGAGAGGGGCCCUCCCUCACCCCCUCCACGAAGCGACUCCCUCAGUUCCUUGAGGUGUCCUCCCAGCACGUGGAAACCUCCUCGCAGUGCACGGAAACGUCCUCCCGCCACGUCAGGGCGUCGUCAUCCCUGAGGGUGGAGACUACUGUGCACCGUGUUGAGAGCCCAGCCAGGCGAGACAAGCAAGCCGCUCGGCAGAGUGCCAGAAUGGCUCGAUGAAGUGCCAAAGGUCCUUAGCCAGGACUGAAGAGUUGCCAGCCAGCCAUCUUCCAGGAGAACCGAGCAUCUUUGGUUUCAUGGAAAGAACCCAUAAAUCAGUGUAAGAAACAGGCUGUGGUUUCUGGGGGCUGUUAACAUGUAUUGACAUUGCAGCACCUUAGACCAUCCUGUUGUUGACCCCAGUGUGCUAUUAACUUGAAGCCAGCACAGAAGGUUUCAGACUGGUAGUGCAGUAUAAACCUGGCUGAUGGACAAUGAGAUUCUUUGAGUCUCUACACCAGUAGUAUUUGGAAGACUGGCUGAAUGUGACUCUGGGAAAGCCAGGCGCCUGCUUCUGGAUCGUUGAUGCUUCAGGAAGGGCGUGGGAAGGAUCCUGGUAGAUUCCCUGUGGUCCUGGUCUUAUUUUUAUCUAGGAUUCUUCCUCCAUAUUUCACUUAUUCAUGUUCCAAGAGAGAGAGAGAGAGAGAGAGAGAGAGAGAGAGAGAGAGAGAGAAUGAAUGUAAUGAAACACCUUUGCCAUAAAUCUAUAUUAUACAUUCCACAGCUUCAAAAUGACAGUGUACAUCAAUGAAGGUAAUUGUUGAUGUACCCAUUGUACUUUGUAAAUGUGUGUGUUACUGUUAGCCAUGCUGUGUGUCUUCCUCAUCGUUCUCUGUAGGAAAUAGAGCUGCUGUACCUGGCAUGUGUUACACAGUGUUAAAGACAGCAUGUGCAACAAUAAUAAAUGAAGAGUAAUAUUCUCCAUUUGCAGUCGAGAAAGCCUUUAAUGGCACAGUCUAAUAAUUGGAUUUAUUGUGCUGGGUAAUAGUUGUGUCUUGCCUUCAGCUGUGUCAGCCAGGUUAGUUUAAAAAAAAAAAAACUAAAUAAAUGUAAGUUCUUGU